rnacentral:rRNA from 1 species
GAUGAACGCUAGCGGCAGGCUUAACACAUGCAAGUCGAGGGGUAGUCAUUUUCGGAUGAUGAGACCGGCGCACGGGUGCGUAACGCGUAUGCAAUCUACCUUUCACAAAGGGAUAGCCCAGAGAAAUUUGGAUUAAUACCUUAUAGUAUAGCAGUCUCGCAUGAGACCACUAUUAAAGAUUUAUCGGUGAAAGAUGAGCAUGCGUCCCAUUAGCUAGUUGGUAUGGUAACGGCAUACCAAGGCUACGAUGGGUAGGGGUCCUGAGAGGGAGAUCCCCCACACUGGUACUGAGACACGGACCAG